UGGGGAAUCUUGCACAAUGGGGGAAACCCUGAUGCAGCGACGCCGCGUGAGUGAUGAAGCCCUUCGGGGUGUAAAGCUCUUUCGACAGGAACGAUAAUGACGGUACCUGGAGAAGAAGCUGCGGCUAACUACGUGCCAGCAGCCGCGGUAAUACGUAGGCAGCAAACGUUGUUCGGAGUUACUGGGCGUAAAGAGUGCGUAGGCGGUUUGCCAAGUCUGGUGUGAAAUCUCCUGGCUUAACUGGGAGGGUGCGCCGGAUACUGGCAGGCUUGAGUGUGGGAGAGGAAAGCAGAAUUCCUGGUGUAGCGGUGAAAUGCGUAGAUAUCAGGAGGAAUACCUGUGGUGAAGACGGCUUUCUGGACCACAACUGACGCUGAGGCACGAAAGCGUGGGGAGCAAACAGGAUUAGAUACCCAUGUAGUCCCUGAGCGGGCUGGCAAGGCGCAU
rnacentral:rRNA from 1 species